rnacentral:rRNA from 1 species
GAUGAACGCUGACAGAAUGCUUAACACAUGCAAGUCUUUGGCGAAGCUGUGCUUGCACAGCCUAGCCAAGGCGGACGGGUGAGUAACGCGUAAGGGACUUGCCCUGCAGUCAGGGAUAACAGACGGAAACGACUGAUAAGACCUGGUAAAGUCAGGCGGACUCAUGUCCAGCCUGAUGAAAAGGAAUGCUGCAGGAGAGCCUUGCGUCCUAUUAGCCUGUUGGUGGGGUAACGGCCCACCAAGGCGAUGAUAGGUAGCCGGCCUGAGAGGGUGGACGGCCACAAGGGGACUGAGAUACGGCCCUUACUCCUACGGGAGGCAGCAGUGGGGAAUAUUGGACAAUGGGGGCAACCCUGAUCCAGCAAUUCUGUGUGCACGAUGAAGGUCUUCGGAUUGUAAAGUGCUUUCAGCAGGGAAGAAAAAAAUGACGGUACCUGCAGAAGAAGCGACGGCUAAAUACGUGCCAGCAGCCGCGGUAAUACGUAUGUCGCGAGCGUUAUCCGGAAUUAUUGGGCAUAAAGGGCAUCUAGGCGGCCCUGUAAGUCUAGGGUGAAAACCUGCGGCUCAACCGCAGGCCUGCCCCGGAAACUACAGGGCUAGAGUGCUGGAGAGGUGGACGGAACUGCACGAGUAGAGGUGAAAUUCGUAGAUAUGUGCAGGAAUGCCGAUGAUGAAGAUAGUUCACUGGACGGCAGCUGACGCUGAAGUGCGAAAGCUAGGGGAGCAAACAGG